CACACCGCGCCUGUCAUUAAAUGGCGCCAGCGAGGCAGAAGUCGAAGGCCGAGCGCUAGGGUACACGGCGCCAUUGCACCCCAAUCUCACCCAAGCUCCGCGGGCACGACCCGGCCGGGCUCCCGCGGCUACCGGGCCCUCGGGGGGGGCCGGGGGCCGGGCCUCGCUGGAUCCCGGCAGCCGCGGCGGCCGAGGCCGCACCGCCCUCCCCGCGCCCGGCCCCAGCGCCGCCGGCGGCCGCCUCCCGCACUCCUCCCCUCGCAGGCAGCGGGCACCGUGCCCCCCGGCUGCCUGGGGCGGCCCGUGGGAGGGCACGGCCGUCUCCCGUGGGAGGCAGAGCGACUGCCAGGCGCGCCCCAGCCCCACCGGCAAGAAGCCCUGAAGAGAAUGUUUUCUUCUUCAGUAAAUUAAGAUAUUCCUGGUUUAGCAGACUAAUAUCUGUAGGCUAUAAGAAGCCAUUGGAAGGGGUUGACCUAUUUGAGCUGAAUGAAGGUGAUUCACUCUACAGUGUGUCCCUAACUUUGAAAAGCAAUAGAGAAAAGAAAUCCAGAAGUCUACCACAGGAUUAAUGGUUUCUUACUUCAGAAGAGUGCUAUUUAAGAAAACAAGUCUCCGUAAACCAUCUUUGAUUUUGCCAUUAUGGCAAGCGUUUCAAUUUUUAUUGAUUAAACUUGCAUUUCUGAAGGUUACAGAUGACAUUCUGGCUUUCAUGAGUCCACAAAUAACGAAGGUGUCAAUAUAAGUGGAGGGCAGAAGCAGAGAGUGAGUCUCGCUAGAGCUGUGUACAGCAAUGCUGACUUGUAUCUUCUGGAUGAUCCCCUGUCUGCUGUAGAUGGACAUGUUGGGAAACAUCUUUUGAGAAGCUAAUUGGCCCUUCAGGUCUCCUAAAAAGCAAGAUAAUUCAGAGUCUAAAUUUUUGGGUGCGUAAAGCAUGUGAACUUGAGACCAAUGCUGUUUCAAUUGAAAGAGUUUGUGAAUAUGCUAAAAUGGAUAAAGAGAGAACCAUACAUUUGAUGGAGCUGAUCAUAUAAAUACAGCAUCAACCUCUGAUUAAAAUCCUGUCCGCCAAGCUUGUUGUUACCUGAAACAUCAGAAUAAAAGGCAUCAGACACACCACCUACAAAGCUCCAGAAAGCAGCACACAUCUCUCUUACUGGGAGAUGUGCUCAAGGGCCAGAACAACGAUACUAGGACCAUAAGCAUAGCACAAGAGCUCACAGAGAUGACAAAAUAGACAUAAUUGUUCUCCACUAAGAAUGCAUAUGGCUAGUAAUUUCCAGAUUUUUAUUUAGCAACCAUUUUAGAAUCCACCCCUCUCCAUUUUUUUCCCCUGGAACUGCUCUGCUACACUGUAACAGAAAAAAGCAGUGGUUGUUACCACAGAGGAAUUCUCCAUAGAAGAAAAGGUGUUAACAACAAUUUCUAGCUGAAACCCUGUAACUGAAAUGCAAUCUCUCACUGCAAAUUGUUUUUCCACAGCUAAAAUUCUCAGUUUCAAAUUUCUCUCUCUGGCCAGAGUAUAUUUUUCUCUUAGCAUUUCCACAGUACAGCUUUAUUGGGAUUAUUGUUUUAACAGUAUCAAGUUAUUCAAUGUCUUCAUGCACUUAAACGAAAAACUACAUGCUACUGAAAUAUAUGUAUACACCCUGAUGAAAGCAGAAGUGAUAAAAUGCAAGCAGUGAACUCCAAGCUCCAUUAACAGAGAGAGAGGUAUAAUAUAUAACCAAUUUCUACGGAAAGAUUAUUCUUGCACUACAUUUUCAAAACCUUUCAAACAAUUGCUCAUAUUUUCCAUUCAACUGAAUUAAAAAAAAUGGCCUGUGGAUUUUCAUCUCUGUUGAACAAUAUUCUCAAAACCAUUUUGUUUUGACUGAAAACAGGUAUUCACUUAGUGGACCUCUACACCUAACUAAAUCAGAAUGAAGCUGCUGAAUAUUUUCUGCUGUUCCACUCUUACUGGACUGAACAGUAGCUCACAUGAAAAACUGGUUCAUGGAAGACCUGUUGGAAUCCAGGUCAUCUGAAAAGCAGUUGUGUAUUCACUACAGUUUUACUAAAGAUUGCUGCCAGAACUCUUUGCCAAGUGAUGAGCCACUCUGGCACAUACGCAUCAGAAAACUUAAUUCUGGCUUAGCAGCACACGCAUUCCCCAACCCUGCCCAACUGAGCUGCAGCCAAACACAAGGUGAGGAUGAUUUGGCAAGUAUUGCCAGUUUAGACAAAGGGAAUAGGAAGAUCUGUAAUAUCCCCAACCCCCAAAAGUGCAGUCAAAGUAACUAUAAUACCCACAAGCACUUUACUAGUGGGCACAAAAGUUAAUUGCUGUGGAUAAAAUGAAACUACAACUUACUCCUUUAAGUCAGCCAAAACCUAUGAUUUUACCUUAAUUGUUGAAACCAGUCACAAACCUAAUGUUGCAUGAAAGGCAGCUGAGAACACAUUCAGAGAACACUUUGUGACAAGGCUGAUAUGUUUUAAAAAGCCCCUCUAGUGGUGACUUUAGGUGCACCUUUCCUUUCACCCCCACUCCUUGGAAAAAAAAAAAAAAAAAAAAAAAGUACAGCAUUUUUCUCACCUGCCAUGGCUCGAGUGAGGAACAUCCCUCCCUGUUUGUUCAAGAGAGACACAUCCAAAGUUCCUCCACCCAAAUCCACCACCAGAACAUUAAACACAUCAGCUUUGUGGAGUCCAUAAGCCAUAGCUGCAGCUGUGGGUUCAUUGAUUACUCGCAAAAUGUUUAGCCCUUCAAAGAGCAAAGAUACCAAACAACAGUCAGGGACGCUUCAAAAAAACUGCAGUUCUCACAUCAUAAUGACACCAUUAGUUCUUUGGGUUUUUUUAACCAAACUUACCUUAAGCAAAACGUCAGAUCUAAAGGAAAUAGUUUUCUAAACAGUAAUACUCAGUGAACUCUUUUCCUUAUUUAAGCCUAAAGUAGUACUACCUCAGUAUUAGGGUGAAGUCAUGAACCAUGAUUUGCCCAAACACAUUUCUUCCAGAGAAAGCUGCUAAGGAGACUAAUUUCACAUGUUCUAUAUCUGUUUAAAUUACUGUCCAAGGGUGCUCUGUAUAGCCUCUAUUUGGAGAUUACCAAAAAGACUACUCUCCCUGAAGUAAAAUUUACUACUUCUAGCUACCUAUGCUUGCCUUAGUCAACUGUACCUGUCAGUACCCAAGAAUUCUUUGCUGUUCUUCACAAUUGUUAAUGGUCUGUUUAAAAAACAUAAAAAAAUAAAGAAAAUAAAAUUCCACUCUGAGGUUCUCUA